GGUGAUUAAAUCAAUCCGACUUCACAAGGCUGGAUUAGAGCCUUGGAUUUACUCUUCAAAUAUUAAGGUUGUCCAUCUUGUGCGGGAUCCUAGAGGUAUGAUAAAAUCAAUGAACUCCCGUUCAAGUGAUUUUAAGCAGGCUUGGAAGAAUGUUUCACAGCUAUGCAAUACAAUUCAGGAUGAUGUUAGUCUCGAAGAUGGUUUGGGCUCAAGAUAUAUAAGAAUUCGGUACGAAGACUUAGUUGAAAAUACUGAAACCAAUUUGGAACAGAUUUACAAAUUUCUAGAACUACCUUACUCUGAUCAGGCAUUUUUUAUGAUCAUAUUCUAUUUU